GACGAACGCUGGCGGCGUGCUUAACACAUGCAAGUCGAACGAUGAAGUUCCUUCGGGAAUGGAUUGGUGGCGAACGGGUGAGAAACACGUGAGAAACCUGCCUUUCAUUUUGGGAUAACUCCGGGAAACCGGAGCUAACACCGAAUACUCCGUCUCGGCGGCAUCGCUGAGCCGGGAAAAAAUUAUGAUGAAAGAUGGUCUCGCGGCCUAUCAGCUAGUUGGGGAGGUAAUGGCUCACCAAGGCGACGACGGGUAUCCCGCCUGAGAGGGCGCCCGGCCACACUGGGGUGAGACACGGCCCAGACUCCUACGGGAGGCAGCAGUGGGGAAUAUUGGGCAACGGGCGCAAGCCUGACCCAGCGACGCAGCGUGAGGGAUGAAGGCCUUCGGGUUGUAAACCUCUUUCAGUAGGGAAGAAGCGAAAGUGACGGUACCUAAAGAAGAAGCACCGGCUAACUAUGUGCCAGCCGCCGCCGUAA
rnacentral:rRNA from 1 species